rnacentral:rRNA from 1 species
AUUUGACCAGAUUCACUUUCCAGUAAAUCUACUUUGUUACGACUUAUUUCAAUUUAUAUGAAAGCGACGGGCGAUAUGUACAUAUUUUAGAGCUAAAUUCAAAAUUAUUAUAUAAUAAUUUUUACUAUCAAAUCCUAAAUUAUUAAUAUUUAAAACAUUAAAUCAUUAUUAAUAUAGUAACCCAUUUCUUCUUAAAUAUAACUAUACCUUGAUCUGAAUUAAAUUUUAAUUAAAAAUAUUAAAUUAUAUAAAUUAUAAAUAAAUUAAACAACGAUAUUUAAGCAAAAUUUAAGUACAUAUAAUCGUGGAUCAUCAAUUAUAGAACAGGUUCCUCUGAAUAGAAUAAAAUACCGCCAUAAACAUUUAUUUUUAAAAAAUAAUUAUUAAUUAUAUAGUCAGAUAUUUAAAUUUUAAUAAUAGAGUAUCUAAUUCUAGUUUUUAAUUAACUUAUUGAAAAUCAUAUAAAAAUCAUUAUUAAUAUAAUAAAAUUUCACCUAAUAUUAUAAAUUUUAAUUUUAAAUUCUAUUAAUCAAAACCAAUAUUAAUUAAAUUGAAUUAUAAGUAUAACCGAGGCUGCUGGCACUUAAUUAGCCAAUUCUAUUUAAAAUUACUAAGUCUAAAAUUAUUUAAUACUUAAUACACAUUAUUGAAACCAAAAAUUUAUAAAAUAUUACCAUAUAAUUUAAUAAUAAACUCAAUUAAAAAGCUAGUUUUUAACUUUAA